GUCGAGGGCGUGACUUUGGCCCCUGGGGCUGAAGGAUGCAGGGGCAGGAGGGAGCUGGACUUAGAAACCUGAGACUUCCUGGGCUCCGUUUCCCCGUCUGUGAAGCGUGGGAGCCGGACUCCAUCCCUAAGGUCCUCCGGGCUCUGAUUCAGAGCAACACUCUCAGAAGAUACAGACACAUAAUUCCGGGGGUUCCUGGGCGCUCCUGAGCCUGGGGUGAAGGCCCUCAGUCCACACGGCUCUUCUUCCGUCCCGACUGCACCGAGCUCACCCAAAGUGCCUGCUGUUGGCUGCUUGUUACGGAAACUGCCUUGGUAAUUACUCGAGACGGGUGGUAACUGGACUUGCAGUAAUCACAUCGCGAUAGCAUGUCGAGCACCACACCCGCGGGCCCUCGCCAGCCCGACUCCGAGACGCCUGCAGGCGGCCCACCCUGCAUGCUCCUGGAUGUGAUCAGGAAAAGCUUCGGACAGAAAAGGUGAAUUAGAGUUUCUGUACCCCACUCCCCACGCCUUUCUGUGGGAUUUGUAUAAUGCUUUUGUAAAAAGCAGAAAAACAAGAGACAGCACGCAGGAGUGGGGGAAUACUUGUAUCUUCACCUCUAGGAACUACUACUGUUUCUAAAAAAGUGCUAAUCUUAGUGCAUUUCAAACUUUUUGGUAGUGGAACCCCUCCUCCCCCCAUGAAAUCUUAUGUGAAACCACAUCUAAACAAAUAAAAGCUGAAUUUUUGAUAAAUUUA